rnacentral:rRNA from 1 species
UACAGAGGUCCCGAGCGUUGUUCGGAUUCAUUGGGCGUAAAGGGUGCGUAGGCGGCGGGGCAAGUCUGAUGUGAAAUCCCGGGGCUCAACCCCGGAACUGCAUUGAUACUGCCUUGCUCGAGUACUGGAGAGGGAACUGGAAUUACGGUGUAGCAGUGAAAUGCGUAGAGAUCGUAAGGAAGGCCAGUGGCGAAGGCGAGUUCCUGGACAGUUACUGACGCUGAGGCACGAAGGCCAGGGGGAGCAAAACGGG